rnacentral:rRNA from 1 species
CAUCCUCCAAGGCUAAAUACUCCUGACUGACCGAUAGUGAACCAGUACCGUGAGGGAAAGGCGAAAAGAACCCCGGCGAGGGGAGUGAAAAAGAACCUGAAACCGUGUACGUACAAGCAGUGGGAGCACAGGUUUACCUGUGUGACUGCGUACCUUUUGUAUAAUGGGUCAGCGACUUAUAUUCUGUAGCAAGGUUAACCGUAUAGGGGAGCCGUAGGGAAACCGAGUCUUAACCGGGCGUUAAGUUGCAGGGUAUAGACCCGAAACCCGGUGAUCUAGCCAUGGGCAGGUUGAAGGUUGGGUAACACUAACUGGAGGACCGAACCGACUAAUGUUGAAAAA